CGCACAUUGCGCCCCUUGGUAUUCCGAGGGGCAUGCCUGUUCGAGCGUCAUUUAAACCAUCAAGCCUAGCUUGGCUUUGGACUGGGCCCUGGUGCCUCGUCUAAAACCCUUGUUGGCGUUCCCGUCGAGCUUCAAGCGUAGCAAGUAAAACAUCGCUUCAAGGCUGCUGGCGGGAGCCGCUCACAGAGUUACCCCCAUAGUUUGACCUCGGAUCAGGUAGGGAUACCCGCUGAACUUAA
rnacentral:misc_RNA from 1 species